rnacentral:rRNA from 1 species
UACGUAGGGGGCAAGCGUUGUCCGGAAUCAUUGGGCGUAAAGCGCGUGUAGGCGGUUCGGUAAGUCCGCUCUGAAAGCCCGGGGCUCAACCCCGGGAGGCGGGUGGAUACUGUCGGACUAGAGUGCGGAAGAGGCGAGUGGAAUUCCCGGUGUAGCGGUGAAAUGCGCAGAUAUCGGGAGGAACACCAAUUGCGAAGGCAGCUCGCUGGGACGUUACUGACGCUGAGACGCGAAAGCGUGGGGAGCAAACAGG